AACGAUGUUUUGAAAACAGGUUUUCAAACCCUUAUACUCACAUAGUAAUUUAGGCCUUUGAUACUUCAAUUUUAUUCCGUAUUCGACUUGAUUUGAUUUUAUUCUUGAGAUACGAAGAAUCUUAGACAAAAUAAUAUACGUAUAAGUGUCGGGCUCCUUAUAGGCAUGAAAGCCAUCGAAGUGACCCGAGCACCACAAAUAUGAUUUACAAGUUAACUGUACAAUUGAAAAGGUCCAUCAUAGGAACCAAAUCUAGAUUCGUCAGCUGAGUCUUAGAUUUCGUGGGUCCUAGGCUCACAUAAUAUCAUAUGAAUAGCCUACAUAAUGAGGAUUCUGAAAUAAAACAGAUAUUUAAUCUAAACGACGCAAAACAAAGGAAUCAUCAGUUAAAUCCCUGCCUGCGCUU
rnacentral:lncRNA from 1 species